AUUAUAGACGAUGCUAUGAAUGCUUUACUGCGAGUACCGAUAAAAUAUAUUAUGAAAUAUGUAUUUCUACUAGGACUAGGUGUUAAAAUCCCUUGAUGAUCAGUAUUGUAUGGCGAUUUCAUCUUAGACUGUCAGCUUGGACAAUUACAUCAGGCACGCAGAUACGGGCUCCGAUGGCCAAAUGAACGCAGGAGGGCCGAACAGCAACGUAACUUUACUGGACUCUACAAUUUAAGUAUAUGGUUCUGACAAGAGGGCGUUGAAUGCUCUCCCAGAAGCAAAGCUGCGGCGCAUAGACCAUAUAUACACAGCGACUCCACAGCGAAAAGCGGCGAGACUCUGGAGGGAAAUCGGGAAAACGCGGCGUGGAUUGAGCGGAGGAUCGGACCGAGACGCGCUGCUCUCCGCGGCUGCUGAGGUUUCGGGCGUAUUGUGCUUUUUUGCCAGGAAACGCACUAAAUUCUCCCAUUCCAAGGAAUUACUUAUCGUGUCUAUUUUGUGUGGCACAAUUAAUUCAGAAAACUGGUAAAACGUAACCAUCUUGUUAACAGAUUAGAUGUGCACUUUAUCGCGCUUGGUAGCCUACUGGUAUAUAACCAGUCCGGUCCUCGGAAAGGCAACCGGAGUUUUCCUCUACAGUUUAUAUCUAUCCGCCAUAAAGUGGUUCUAAGUGGGCAGAUGUUCUGUGUUAUGAAAAGUCGUUUUGACCUCAUAUCAGGCUUCACAUUAAAGUUUAUUUUUUGCAAAA